GUGUCAGCCGCCGCGGUAAUACGGAGGGUGCAAACGUUGCUCGGAAUCAUUGGGCGUAAAGCGCACGUAGGCGGACUGUUAAGUCGGAUGUGAAAGCCCUCGGCUUAACCGAGGAAGUGCAUUCGAAACUGGCAGUCUUGAGUACAGAAGAGGGUCGCGGAAUUCCCGGUGUAGAGGUGAAAUUCGUAGAUAUCGGGAGGAACACCAGUGGCGAAGGCGGCGACCUGGGCUGAUACUGACGCUGAGGUGCGAAAGCGUGGGGAGCAAACAGGAUUAGAAACCCGCGUAGUCC
rnacentral:rRNA from 1 species